AUUCGUAGAGAUCGGGAGGAAUACCAGUGGCGAAGGCGCCCUUCUGGACGGUUACUGACGCUGAGACGCGAAAGCGUGGGGAGCAAACAGGAUUAGAUACCCUGGUAGUCCACGCUGUAAACGAUGAGCACUAGGUGUAGCGGGUACCCA
rnacentral:rRNA from 1 species